rnacentral:tRNA from 1 species
CGCGGGGUGGAGCAGUCUGGUAGCUCGUCGGGCUCAUAACCCGAAGGUCGUAGGUUCAAAUCCUACCCCCGCCACUA